rnacentral:tRNA from 2 species
AGGCAAUUAGUUUAAGGAGAACCUUUGAUUUCGGCUCAAAAGCUUGUGGUUAAAGUCCGCAAUUACCUA